UACGGGGGGAGCAAGCGUUGUUCGGAUUUACUGGGCGUAAAGGGCUCGUAGGCGGUUUGUCGCGUCGGGAGUGAAAUCCACUGGCUUAACUGGUGGCUUGCUUUCGAUACGGGCAGACUGGAGGUAUGCAGGGGAGAACGGAAUUCCUGGUGUAGCGGUGAAAUGCGCAGAUAUCAGGAGGAACACCGGUGGCGAAGGCGGUUCUCUGGGCAUGUCCUGACGCUGAGGAGCGAAAGUGUGGGGAGCGAACAGG
rnacentral:rRNA from 1 species